rnacentral:rRNA from 1 species
AUGCGCAGGGCACGCUCGAGACGAACAGGGGGCAGUCGAGGCAAGGGGCCGCGGGCGCAGGAACUUGGUGCUACCGUGGAUGCAGGGACGGUUCAACGCGGGCAGCUCCGGUCGGGAUCCUCCGGAUCGAACGUAGCAGAGGACGGAGGGGCUCAGGGGCAGCUCGAUUUGGUCAGCGGCGGGGAUCGGUCAGGGGAGCUGGUGUCUCGUGGCAGCGAUGAGCGGCGGAGGAAAAUCCAUGGUGCUCGAGGCAGGAAGCGGCUUCAGACGCGGAGCUCGCCGGAUCCGAUAGCGGUGAAAGUCGUCGAGGCAGGGAACGGAGCUCUGGCGGCUUGGCCGCUCCGGGCGAGGCUCAAGGAGCUCAAGCGCGUGUCAUCCAUGGUGCUGCUCCUAUGGCACAAGAGAGGGAGGGAGAGGUUAGAGAAGGGAGAGACGAGAAUAAGAGGAAGACAGGAAGAAGGAGCGGGUGGUCUGGCCUGGUUCGGUCCCUGGCGGCGGCGCCAGACGACGAGGCGAGGAGGAGGAGCAUGGGGAGGAUCUGGAACGAAGAAGAGCAUGGGGUCUCAUUCCUGGCAUCUUGCGGGAGCUCCUACUUGA